rnacentral:rRNA from 1 species
UACGGGGGGAGCAAGCGUUGUUCGGAUUUACUGGGCGUAAAGGGCGCGUAGGCGGUCAGUGCAAGUCAGUUGUGAAAUCUCCGGGCUUAACUCGGAAAGGUCAACUGAUACUGCUCGACUAGAGUGCGGAAGGGGCAACUGGAAUUCUUGGUGUAGCGGUGAAAUGCGUAGAUAUCAAGAGGAACACCUGCGGCGAAGGCGGGUUGCUGGGCCGACACUGACACUGAGGAGCGAAAGCCAGGGGAGCAAACGGG